GUUGUUUUCAAGUGAAUUCAGUGUACUCGUUUAUCGCUUUAUCAAUUAUCACAAAAUCGGUCGUAAGUUAAUUAGGUGAUACUGAAAGAAAUGUAAUUAGUGUCAAGUCAGGAAACAAUACACGCCAAUAAUCGAAUCUUAAAAACUAUCCUGUGAAAUGUGUUUGUUCACGUGCAUAUAUCGAAUUUCUGAAAGCAUCGCGUGAACUAUCUCGAUAACAUAACCUUCUCGUUAUGCCAAACAGAUUAGUGAAAUCAAAAGUAACUAUUCUAUCGAUUCUUCGAACGCAUUAAAUAACAUCAGCAGUUAGACUAUGUUUGACCCUAAUGAACGUAUUAUGCUUGAUAAAAUGUAACAUAAACUUUUUACGUCAAGAUAUCAAGAAAGGACAUUAAAAAAUAACAUCUCCUAAAAAUAUAACGUUCCGUAAUAAAAGAGCGUGCUGAUAAUAUACGUCAAGUUGAAUCUUUUUACUUGUCAAAUAACUUUCUGUCAUAGAAACAGACGACAAUUCUUCUAACGUUCUCUUGUGAUGUUGACAAAGAUUUAGUAAUUUCUCCUAUCUUGAUAUAUAUUAUUCUUUAAAUAAAACGUACAAAAAUUGCCUUUUGUUUUCCAUUUAAAACUCUUGAGUUUGCCAUUAUUUCGAUUGCAUAAUAAGUUCGAAUUAAAAUAUCUGUGAAGUGAGCAAAAAUGAUUGAAAACUAGUAUCCAUGUUCGUAUAGGUCUUUAAAGUUCAUAUAAUCCUUUCUAAGAAAAAAUGUAAAAUUACGAUGUAGAGACUUACUUCGUAUAUGCGUAUAUUGACAAUAGUUGUUAACAACUCCUUUUUUUUUCUUUUAAUUAAUAAGGAUUGCAUUUUAUUCUAAUACUCAAGGUCGAAUUGAGUAUCGUUAUCUCGCGAGAUGUUGGAUGCAAUAGCAAAUGAUCACUGUUUUCAAAUAAACGAUGUUUUUUAACAUAACGAUAAAAUAAAUAUGUCGCAAAUAAUGAUGUUUUUUGCAAAUAAUUGUUGUAAGUAAUGACAAAAAGAAUGUUAGAGGAUAAUGAUAAUAAUUGAAUUAAGGUAUAUAAAUUUAAUAGUUACACACUUUCGAAACAUCGUAGUAGAUGUUAUAAUUUAUUCGAUCGUAAUUAAUGAUUACCUAUGCAUUACCUAUGCAUAUAUACAUAUUCAUAGAUCAGUGGAAAAGGUAAUCUAACGAUUAUGUAGAUCUGGAUCUAGAUCUAGUACUUACGUUAGUUUUACCAAUUCUUGCUUCCUAUAUCUCGAAUUUGUCGUACAUUGUAUUUAUCAUUAUAUCAAUUUAUGAUCCCUUAAUGUUAUUAAAAAAUGUUACAGUGGAUCCAAUUGUAAUUCCAAUCUUGAUGAUAAAUUCGUCAUAAUUAUGUGUGAAGGUUUAAAUCGAUUCAAUCCAAUGACUCGUAGUAACGAUCAUUAGAAGUUACAACAGCUUUGUUUCAAUAUUUGUUAUCUGAAUUGAAAUACCGUGGUUGUUCGAUAAACGCUUGCUAUUAAUUUUAUGUGCUUCAAAUACGCAAGUUACGAUGUUAUUUUCAAAGAAAAACGCAUAUAGAGAAGCAUAAACAAGUAGAUAAACAUUCUCAUGUAGAAAUAGAUAUUAAAAUGAGUAAACGGUACGGAGGACCUCGAGAAGAACAGAAUACUAAAUAAGCGUAUGAUUCACAUAAAUGUGCUACAUGAAUGCAAUAAAUAUACUUUCUACAGUAUCAUGAUCGUUUUUAUAACUGUUUGUGUCACAAUUUAUCUUUUUCGUGUUAAGAGGGUAUUUUCACAAAAUUAUAAUUCGCAGGAAAUAAAUCGAUUUCGGAAUUGUUAACUAAGAAAAUAUUUGAUGAUUUACACGUUACUAUUUUUAAAAUUCAAUUCGGCGAAAUGUGCUUCCGGUAAAUGUAAAUUGGAACCUGAAUGCAGAAUAAUAUAGUAAACAAUUUUAUUUAGUUUAAAGAAUCACGAUUAGCCAGAUUUUAAAGGUAGAAUAUUUUAUAUUAAAAAAAAUAAAAGUUCUAAUACAUUUAAGGAACGGAAUACAGAAUAAUACCAAAUAAAUAAAGGAAAUAAAAAUAACACAAUGAUGCAAUAAUAAUACAAUACAAAGAAAAUACUUGCGCAACUUCUUAAUUCACAGGAACGAACUUUUCCCCUUCUAUGAACUAUCAACAACGUAAUUUGUGUUCAUUUUGAUGAUAUACAGAGAUAGUCAAAUAAGAUACUAGGAAAACUGUAAAUUGUACAUCUACAGCUGCGGUUCUUUUUGAUUCGUGUCUACCUGAUUGAUAAUUUAUGGAGAUUCUUAAGCAAAAUGAAUUUAUAACUUUUGAACGAAUAUAACGGAAUGGAAAUUUCACAAGCGUCAUAGGUCACGCGAUUAAAUUUUCAUUAAUAAUUACACGAUAUGUUUAGUUCAAGAAAGAAAGAGUUUCUUAUAUUUCAAAAAUUCCAUACAUACGAUUGGUAAUCUUUUUUUAGGAAAUUUUAAAAAAUAGUGAUUCCGGAACUGUAUUAAAAUCCUAUUACUUGAAAAGGAUGGCCGCUUCUGGAUGUGCAAUCGUGGCAAGAUAUGUCCUUGGAGCAGGGGUGAAGGAGCUGACCGCUGGUAAACAGCGCAGCGGCUUGGCAACAGGAUGAUCCCGCUAGGUCAAGACUCGACACUACGAAGUACCGAGAACCGUUAGACUCGGAACCGAGCAUCUAGAUUCCAGAAGAUCCUUUGGGAUGCGACUGUAUGAUACUUCGCUAGCAUGGAACCGAACAAUGACCGGUCUCUAACAAACGACUUUUCACUAAGUGCCGAAUGUAGGCUUAUUGCAAAGAAACUUGCUGAAUAACAAAAUAAAAAUUACAUUCCCGAACAGAUUUAAAUAUUUAUAGCCUACUGAAUUAAUUAUUAUUAAAACAAAUUUAUCAAAGUGUUCGCGUACUUCUAUGCGAUAAUAUAUGUACAUAUAUACAUAUAAAUUUAGUGCGUAUGUUCGUGUGCAUAUAUAUAUAUAUACAUUUAGUGUAUGUAUAUGUAGACAUGUAUACCCACACACUAAAUAUACAUACAGGAAGAACAAGUCGGACUACGCAACCUUCUGAAAGCAUCUUCGAGAAAGAUGAACUUACUGAAGGAGGAAGUUACAAUAGUAGGAAGAUUGACAAUUUUUCAACGAAAAUUGAAUGACUCUUUAAUUUUAUUCCGUAUUCCAUUUUCGAUCGCGAAUAAUCGAAUUAUCAACAUUAUAUGUUAAGUUUAUGUUAUAUAUUAAUUACUAAUAUUAUGUUAGUUAGCAAUUUCAUACUAUUAAUAUCCAAAAGCGGUGGUGUACAAAAUAAUUUAACCAAUAUAGAAAGAAUAAUGCGCGCGCGCGCGAUGUGUGUGUGUGCGAUAGCGUUACGUAUAUGUAACAAUUCGAAUUUUCUAAUAUACAACGUAAUUAAGUGACCGAAAAUAUAUAGACGACUCGCGGUAAAGUACUCUAGACAUAGUGAAAGUCUCGGCCUCGCCACAUGACUCGAAACCAGAUGAGGCAGUCUCAAUAUGUACCAUGUUACCUACUUACACUUAAUCUCAAUUUUAAGAUAAGUAAAUGACAUUCCAAUAUCUUUCUAUGUAAUAGGAGAAAAUUAAAAAGAAAGUAUUGAGAUGAAAAGCAAAAGAAAGAAUAUUCUUACAUAUGACUAUUACAGAAGUGUUUGAUAAAUAAGAUCAAAAUAUUUUUAAAAAUUAUCCACACACAAUGUACAAAAAAUUUUUAUUUCAUUUUCUUAUAUCGAGAAAAAGAACACUGUAACACGAGAAACUAUAUCUGCAGAAGGACGUCUGAUAACUACGCUUAAAUAUUUAGUUACCGAAUAAAGUUACGAAGCUCACAAAUUUUCCUGCA